GGGUAUAGCUCAGUGGUAGAGUGCAUGCUUAGCAUGCACAAGGUCCUGGAUUCAAUCCCCAGUACCUCCA
rnacentral:tRNA from 1 species